GACGAACGCUGGCGGCGUGCUUAACACAUGCAAGUCGAGCGGUAAGGCCCUUUCGGGGGUACACGAGCGGCGAACGGGUGAGUAACACGUGGGUGACCUGCCCUCAGCUCUGGGAUAAGCCUGGGAAACCGGGUCUAAUACUGGAUAUGACUCCAUGACGCAUGUUGUGGGGUGGAAAGCCUUGUGCGGCUGAGGAUGGGCCCGCGGCCUAUCAGCUUGUUGGUGGGGUGANGGCCUACCAAGGCGACGACGGGUAGCCGGCCUGAGAGGGCGACCGGCCACACUGGGACUGAGACACGGCCCAGACUCCUACGGGAGGCAGCAGUGGGGGAUCUUGCGCAAUGGGCGAAAGCCUGACGCAGCGACGCCGCGUGAGGGAUGACGGCCUCGGUUGUAAC
rnacentral:rRNA from 1 species